rnacentral:misc_RNA from 1 species
AAGUCGUAACAAGGUUUCCGUAGGUGAACCUGCGGAAGGAUCAUUAACACUUUUCUUUAAUAACUAUUAUCAUACCAAUGCGCAUCGGAGAGCCUUCACUUUGCGGGGGUCGACUAGGAAAUGGUUGGAAUGCGUCCUAGCCUGCUGUUGAAGUUAGCCCGCUGAACCACUCGAUGGAACGGCGACCGGUCUAACGCCCCGACUUAGGGAGGUAUACAGUCUCGACCAUGGCUGGACCCACUCUUUUUUUUCUCUUUACCUUUGAUUUUUGUACUGAUUUGGGCUAUGGAUGGAGAGGAGUCAAAUCCUUUCUCUAUGGCUGUUGAUCGACGGUCUCGACUGUUCGACUCAAUCAAAAACCAAAACACAACUCUUAACAGCGGAUAUCUCGGUUCUCGUAACGAUGAAGAACGCAGU